CCUUGGUCCCCACUCAAAAAGGCCCCUGGGCCCUCCUACUACUACCUAGCACUUUACUACCGAGCCUUAACAGUGGCGUAACGCAUGUGCUUUCCAGUUCCAGUCCAGUACUACAACGUCUUGACAACACGGUGGCGUUUUACAUAUAAACAAUACUGUAAAUGGAUUUGAACGUCUACGAAGGAAACUUUACAUUUAAUAAAUGUGACGUUUUACCUAUAAACAGUACUGUGGAAAUGGUUGAAACUCUACGAAGGAGACUUUACAAUUCAUAUACAAAGAAUUCACAAAUGUCAAGAACGGAUGUCUGGACUCGAUCGUGAAAGGGCAACAGAACUUAUAGUACCAACUACUAUGGAUAGACAAACAUGUUAUCAAUCAUCAAGCUUCCUGUACAAAUUCUGAAUAUGAAAUUAAUUAAAAUAUAUUGGGAUUUUUUUUAAUGUUAGCAAUAUUUAUGAAUUUGUGUAGGUUUUAUGUUUAUUAAUAUUGUAUUAUUACUACUAAUAUUUAUCUUAUAAUAGAAAAAUAACCCGUAAUGUUCUAACGACGACAUAUUAUGUAAGAAAAUAAAGAUUAAA